CAAUGCUAACGGUGACCGUUUCGCAGUUUUUGUGUAACUUGCCCCAGAGCCAAAUCUGUUUCCCUCUCCUGAUCCCAAACAUCUGCUUGUGAUAAGUCCUGCCACACAUGUGUUUCAUACGGCAUGCAGGGGGUGUGGUGAGGACGCGGGCACUGGCCCAAGAAGGGCUGAGCUCAUCAGAGCAUGUGGUCACGGAGGUGGGAGGACAGGGGGUUCUCAUGUUGUGUUGGUGCAGCCCGAGAGGCCAGGGAGAUGGUACCUGUCACCCAGGGGCCGAGCCCCAGGAGCGGGAGUCUCGUGAAUCUCAACCCCACGUUGCCCAGUAGGUGUGCCAGAAUAACUGUGGCCAACAGCUUAUGAAAUGACUUUAUAGAAGCUUAUUUUUGUUUCACAGGGAACAAAAAUGGGCUUUUUAUAUGUGUGGGUAAAUAUGGCACAUAGCAAAAUCUGUGCUUGGGUUUGAGGAUGGCAUCCCUGAAGGCUUCUAAGAGAUGGUCACAACUCUUUCUUAAAAUUCAUUUCACGAUUUCAGAAACUAGCCAUGGCCCACACUGCACUGGGGGCCACGCUGCACAUUUGACCUGCUAUUUGGCGUCACAGCCUGGAUUUGCCCCUUGCGCCCGACAGCAGCCUCACAAGUGGAGAGCACGGUGCUUUGCGAACCACUGGCUAAUCCCCCUCACUCUGUCCCUUCUGGGUUUGAAAUGCCUUUGUGUGUAUUACCUACCUAGCUCUAGGCCUGCACCUCCCUGAAACUACCAAGAAACCCAGACUCUGGAGGGGAGUGGUUGAACUCAGGGGAACAGAGUCCAAGAGCAGACGGCUUAGCCCCCCACCCCCCCCCUCUCUCUCCCACACACACACACACACACACACACACACUACCCCCAGUAGGGGGCCAGAGGCGGAGGUGCAGCCAGUGUGGAGUGUAGAGUGAGCUCACUUCUGCAAGAGCCAGGCUCCAAGGGACAGGAUAACUGCGGAUUGCUUGCUGCAGCCAGCACGGGCGUGGAGACAGGAAGCUGAGCGAAGGGACAGGUCAGGAGAAGAUGCGAACCUGGCCAUCACGCAGUCCAGUCCUAGUUCCAGGCACUCGCCGGGGGAGCCAGGGAGACGGUUCUGUGCAGGCCAAGCCCUGGAGGCCCAUGUGGCGGCUUUCAGAGGAGCCGAGAACAGAGGGCUGCAGGCACCAGGAGCACAACACAGAAGGAGAAGCCGCCACCUAUCCAGAGAAAACCAGGCAUUCAGGGGACAGCAACUCGGGAAAACUUGGCUGAACCUUCUGUCCAUGAAGUCCCCAUUGUCACGGGAGGGCAUAAAAUCCCGACUGAAAUAUGCUUGCUCCUGCAAAGCUCAUGAGCUGGGAUGCACACACCGACUGACCGGGACUCAGAGGUCUUCCUGUGCUGUGACUCCUUGUCCGCACACACCGCGCAGGACAGGGUCCUCCUCUGCUGGCCUGGGUUCUGCCCGAGGGCAGGGACCCUCAACCCCACGUGUCCACUGGGUAUCGACCCUGGUGCCUGCCCCCAGGAGUCCCUCGGGUUUUGAGGAACGUGGCAUGCAGUCCUGCUCUAUCUAGUUACCACAGGUUUAUUUCUCCCUUCGGGGCCUCUAACUUCUGUUUCCUGUUGUUAGGAGAGAGACGUUUUCAGGCUUAGUGGUGAUUGGCAAGCAUUUUUAUGUGGGGCUUGGCAUUUAACAUCUGGCCCAGUUGUGAAAUCAAUUUGCUACAGAUAAGGAAGGACAGAUGGAAGUAUUUUGAGUUCCCUGCACUUGGUUCAGAAAGAGCGCUGGGCUUGGACUGCUGGACAGAUGGGGACCGCUCCACACACUUCCAGAAGGCUCCAUGAACCCUUGCAGAAUUCAGACUGCAGCUCUACCCUGGUUGCACCUCUUCCAUCGUGGUCUGCCUCUGUGAGAGGCUGUGGUGUGCCUUGGAGGUGGGGUGCUCUCAGAGGUGGGGUGCUCAUCUAGCCUGCGUGAGGCGCUGGGCUCCACCUCCAGCGCUAAAGAAAAGAAAGAAGUAGCAGAAAGACAGAAUCCUACCUGUGGGGCUGGGUUGUGGCUCAGUGGCAGGCUGCUCGCUCGCCUAGCACAUGCAAGGCCCUGGGUUUGAUCCUCAGCCUUACAUAAAAAUAAAGACAUACAUAAAGGCAUUGUGUCCAACUACCACUAAAUAAAUAUUUUUUAAAAAGAAUCCUAUGUGUGGUAGAAGAAGGGAAAGAAACAUAAAAUCAACAGAGAUGGGGCCAGGGAAGGGAGCUGGGCUUCUGGGAAGGAAUUGCUGAACUCACUGUGCCCAACGCAGGUUUCAACGGAAGUGGAUUUGUUAUCACACCUCUCCCUUCCCAGGGGUGGACCUGCACAUUCGAAAGCCCGUGUCACGCUGCACUGUGUCACUGAGACUCCCCGUGGGCUCCCACGUGGGGCCAUCCUCACCCGGUGGCCGUUACAGCCCUUGACGUAUGACAGCCUUGCAGCAUCCAGGGCUGGCCGUCACAGCUGAAGGUCAUGCUGGUGGCUGAUCUUGGCAGAGGACAGCUCUUCUUCUGGAAGCCGGAAGAAUCCUUUAUAUUCUUUCCUAUUUUGAAAUUUCACAGCAUACACCCACGUGUUUGUGCAGCACCCUGGCUCCCGGGCCACCGACUUGGUAGUUUGUUCCACGGUGGUGGUCUCCCUCCUGAGACUCCUACUAGUCAGACCUUGGACUUCAUCUUCAGGCACCCACCAUUGAGCUACAGCCCUAGCCCAGACCUUGGAUUCUUCUCUCUCCUUCUCUCCUCGCCAUUCCCCACCCCUCUCUGGAAGACUUUCUUGAUUGUGACUUCCAGUUUUUCUAAUCACUCAGCUAGUGGAGUCUGUUUUUUUCUUAUGAUUAAUUUUUAUUUCAUGCAAAUCUAACUAGUAUCUUCCCUCCCUCCCCAUCCCUCCCUCCUUCUCUCCCUCCUUCUCUCCCUUCCUUCCUUCCUUCCUUCCUUCCAUCAUUCUUUCCUUCUGCAGAUGUGGAUGGAAUCCAGGGCAUUGCAUGUGCUAGACAGAUGUUCACAAAAGAGUCACAACCCAAGCCCCAGAAUUAUCUUACGUAAAAAUGUUUAUUCUAUUUCUCCAAGAAUCUCAUUUUCUUAAUACUUCAUCUUGAAAAUUUUUGAACAUAUAAAACAUUAAUGGAUCAUAAAAUAGGUCCCUAUCUAGAGACCCAUGAAUAUGCAAUUGCUAUAAUUUUAUUAUAUACCUAUUCAAGCCAUGACUUCAAAAUGAUAUUUCUUCCCUGUGCUUUGAGAAAGGUCAGUUUUCUGAGUUUUCACUUUUCCCCAAGAUCCAGGUUGCCCUUAUUAGUCAUGUCUUCCUGAUGGCCAAUCACGUGAGUGGUCAGCCCCAGGACCCACGUCCACCCAGCUUUCACACAGGGGGAUGGACAGUUGGCUGCUCCCGAGGGAAGGGGUGGCUGACAGCUGUGUGUGGACAUGGAGUCCUGGUCCUGGACUGUCCCCUUUCCCCCUGCGUGCUCACUUGCGGACGGCCAGGUCUCCCCAGGCAAGCUUCCACCUCUGCAUGCCUGCCACUGUGGCCAGCAGUGUCCCCCACAGCUCCCAGAUUUGUUAGAGUUCAUCUGCUCUCUUCUGGUCCACCUUGCCCUCAUGCUGCCCACUGGUGGCCACCUCCAUCCUGCUGUCUGCACUUUUCAGCGUGUUUUCUGUCUUGGAAAAUUUGUGUGACAUCUUCUUUUCAACAUGUCCCUUGCCAUAGUCCCUCUGUCCCUGCAUAUUCUGGCAGGCCCAUGUAGGCACACAGAUGCACAUAGGGUUCACUGUUCAUUCCCUUCCCAUGCACACUUCUAGGAUACCGGAACGUUGUGCAGGCAAAGUCGACCAUGCCUGUAUCAUAUAUGUGAGUUUUUAACGUCACUGAGUGGAGUCUCAGGAUCACGGGGAACUACGAUGGCCUUAUAUUUCUAUCAGAAACUCUCCAAUGAGGCCCUGCCUUCUUUCCCCAGUACUAGGGGGAAGCCCCUCUCCUUUUCUACUUCUCUGUUUCAUGGCCACAUUUUCAGGUGGUUUUCUAUCAAGUCUUCAUGGCUAGUUCACCCUCUGAAUCCUUAGGAAAGCCGUUUUGCUUGGUUUUGGUUUUUGUUGCUAGAUAGGAGCCCAGGCCUUGUGUCUGGGUGUGGUCUUUAUCUGAGCUGCACCAGCCCUGCUUUUGUGUUUCCAAUUGUCAGAAUUCAUAGCCCUUUACUCUUGGAAAUGUGUGGUAUUUUUACAUUACCUUCUUGCUUUUAAUGUCGUGAGAAGCAGCUGGAUGCCAAUCUAAUUCUCAUUCCUUUUAAAAUAAGACAUUAUUUCUUUCUUCUAAAUUAUGUGGGGCUUUGACUUUAUUUUGGAAAUUAAGAAACAGUGAGGCUGGUGGCUGUGGGGGAGGUAGCAGGCUCCACUGGCCACAGCAUGAGCCAGCGUCGCGCUGGAUAUGGGAAGAUGUGCUGCUCUCAUGGUCCUGUGUCUUCUAGAAGUGUCUGUGUCUCACCUUCUCAGAAGCAGUGAGACCUGGGGUCAUUGCAGGUCACAGCUGAGCAGAGAGUCAUGAAGAGAGGAGUCGCUGAUCCCACUCACACAGACCUGCCAGCUGCCAUGCUGAUCCGACUCCUUUCCACAGUGGUCUGCUGACCUUGCAGCGAGCAAGACUGGCUGACAACGGCUGGACAGACCAUGGACCACCGAAACCAGCCUUCAGUCUGCUUGGAGGCCAAGCACCAGUGGCUCCCAGGGAAAAUCACAGAAUUCAGCCUGGACCACACGGAGACACCUGUAUUCUCCUCAGAACUCACCCCUCGGGGAGGAAGGCCCAGAGCCGAGGAACCGGGUUUUGCCCAGGACACAGAUGAGGUGAUGAGGAACAAUGUGAAACAAGUCACCGCACCUUACGGCCACCGGCAGAUCACAGCGCUCCCAGCCCCUCGGCCCCUGGUCUCAGUCACACAGGAUGGCCAGGAACCGCAAUCCGCCUUCAAGAGGCGGACAGGGAGAGGGGAGGGAAGCCACCGCAGCCAGGGAUGAGAACUGUGGCAGGACCCCCGGGAAACGAAAGAAAUGCAGACACAUAUCCCAAUUCAUGUGCUAGUUAGGAAGCACCAUGAGGAAAAGAAAAAAGAGACCCGGGAAAGGAGAGGAGGCCUGGAGAACUUUCUAAAGAAAUGGGAACCAAUCAAGUCCUCACAGCAGGCAGCAUUAGGCAAUAAAUACAGCAGAGAUAAGGCCGGGAACAGAGCAGGCAAGUGGGAAAUGAAACAUCACACAGGAGAAAAGCUGUGUUUGCUUUCUAAGAGGUACGAACCUCAACAACCAAAGUGAAUAAGAAUACCCAGGAAACGAGGAAGAGAAACACUUUUUCUUUGGUUCCUAAGAGAAUAAAGUCAAGUCAGAGAAACAGAUGCUUUUACUCAUCUUUGCUCGAUUAGCGCUCAUCAUUGCAACAUUAGACAAGAAAGCAAAAUAAGAAUUGAUUUUGUGGGGCAAAAAAAAUCAGGGGCUGGGGAUAUAACUCAGUUGGUAGAGUGCUUGUCUCACAUGCACGAGGCCCUGGGUUCAAUCCCCAGCACCACAAAAAAAAAACAAGACAAAACAAAACAAAACAUUACUUGUGAAUGCUUAGUUUACCUACAUAGGAAUCUGAAAGAACCUAGUUAAGAAGGGUAGAACUUAAUUAUAUUGCUCAGUGAAUUGGGCAGAUUAUAGGAGAUGGUUAUUAACACAGAAUCAGAACACUGAAGCGUGGAAACAGAAGAAUUUUCCAAAACGGUGAUUUUUAAAGUUCAUCUUAAAGUUGUAACAAAUAAGUUCAUCCUUUUGAGGGACGAUUUAGCAUUUGUCCUACAGAAAUCAGCACGUGUGGAAGCUCUGUGUUCCCGAGUUAGGAUGGGGCUGUGUGUCGCUGUGGCACCCUGACCUCACAGCACAGCUGUGUGAGCUUCCUGUGACUGCCUGCCUGGAGGCUGUGAGCCACCUGUGCCCCGCCCCGUUGAGUGUUGUGAGCCUGGGAAAAGCUCAAAACUCCAAGCACGGGUCCUACUGAGAGUGUUCCACUCUCCCACCACCAUGGAGCCCCCAAAUCACGGGUCAAACCAUCCUCAAGCUGGGGCCAUCUGUGUAAGAUUAGUAAUUGUGUAUGUACACUAGUACAGGGAAAGAUGUGUUCAAAGACAAGAGAAGCAUAUUUUGGAGAUUAACACUACACAUGGUAUAAUAAUGUCCAGAAGCUGUGUUCACACUGUGUGUCUUCAUACGUGUAUCCAUGUGCUAAAUUCCACCAUCCUACGCCAGAAUAGAGAUGUGUUGUUCUUUCAAUCAA